CAACUUUCCUAGGAAAAGGAAGACAGCAUUUAGUGACAAGCAUCCAGAACGACUAGGCUUUACAAACUGGUGGAAAGCUGGAUCAAUAUUUACAUAGUGCCACAAAUUCUUAUGUCCAAGACUUCAUUUUCUGCAGCUUGAGCUACUUACACAGGAUGCAACGAACUAGAAUGUGCUGCCAUCUUCUGGGAGAAAGACUCGAUCCUGAGACCCUGAGAUCAUGACCUGAGCUGAAGGCAGAUGCCCAAGCGACUGAGCCAUCCAGACGCCCCUAUUUACCACUUUUCAAUAUAAUGAAUUGAUUCCCAUCAUCCUUUGAAGAUGAACAAUUUUUUAAAAAUUACUAUUAUAAAAAAAUUAUGAACUCAUGGUUUUGAAUGUAUUUGAUGGGUUUAAGUUAUUACCAUUAUCAAAUCUCAAAGUUUCCUAUCUUUGACCUGUGGGACCUCUUCAAGUUAGCUCCUGAGUCUUUCUGACAGGACGCUACUGGUUUUUGCUCAUUUCCUUGUUAUCUGGUAUUUUUUUUUUCUUUAAAGAUUUUAUUUGUUUGACAGAGAGAGACACAGUGAGAGAGGGAACACAAGCAGGGGCAGUGGGA